rnacentral:rRNA from 1 species
UUGACCUCAAAUCAGGUAGGAUUACCCGCUGAACUUAAGCAUACAAGG